GAUUAAGUUAUUAAGGGCGCACGGUGGAUGCCUUGGCACUAGAAGCCGAUGAAGGACGUUACUAACGACGAUAUGCUUUGGGUAGCUGUAAGUAAGCGUUGAUCCAGAGAUUUCCGAAUG
rnacentral:rRNA from 2 species